rnacentral:rRNA from 1 species
UGGGGAAUUUUGGACAAUGGGGGAAACCCUGAUCCAGCCAUCCCGCGUGUGCGAUGAAGGCCUUCGGGUUGUAAAGCACUUUUGGCAGGAAAGAAACGUCAUGGGUUAAUACCCCGUGAAACUGACGGUACCUGCAGAAUAAGCACCGGCUAACUACGUGCCAGCAGCCGCGGUAAUACGUAGGGUGCAAGCGUUAAUCGGAAUUACUGGGCGUAAAGCGUGCGCAGGCGGUUCGGAAAGAAAGAUGUGAAAUCCCAGAGCUCAACUUUGGAACUGCAUUUAAAUAUUCCGGGCUAGAGUGUGUCAGAGGGAGGUGGAAUUCCGCGUGUAGCAGUGAAAUGCGUCGAUAUGCGGAGGAACACCGAUGGCGAAGGCAGCCGCCUGGGAUAACACUGACGCUCAUGCACGAAAGCGUGGGGAGCAAACAGG